GAUUGUUUCCAAUCCUUUAUUUUGUCCUUUUUAAAUUCAAGUGUUUUGUAUGCUUAGAAAAAAGAUAUAUAUAAUAGCAAGAUUGCUUAUUUCUGAGCUGGAAAUUGGAAACUUUGAAACUCAGGAAAUUGCUCUGACAAUGUUUUAACUGCUCUCAAUUUAAGAAAAUGACAAAAUGUAUAAAAAAGACACAAAAAUAAUGUGUGCUGUUUUUUCCAAUUGCUUUUUUGUUGUGCAAUAGAGGUGAAGUUUGAUAAUUUUUCUGUGUUGUGGUUAAAUAUUGCUUAUUUUUAUUUACAUGGUAAAGAAAACAGAUUUAAAUGUUUUGUGUGGCCAAAAAACCUUGUCAUUUAAAAGGUAAAGUAAGUUUAGGUAGAAUUUAUGUAAAUGGUGCUUAUUUUUAAAUGUAAUUCAAGUUUACAGUGUUACUUAAUGUCUCUUUGCAAAAUUUAUUAGAGAAAUAAGGCUAGAAUGCAUCUACAUCCCGGAGAGUUUUUUAUAACUUCACAUUAUAUGAUGACAUUGUUUUCCUUAAAGUUGAGCAAAUGACUUUUAUGGUCCAAAUGAUGAAACCAUUUAUUAACAUGUGAUUGAGAAUUAACCAUGAGACUUCUCAUUAAAAUAUAAUAUUGCAACUGUCAGUUGGAGAAUAUAUUAUAAGAUUUUCAAACAGUCUAUUAGAGACAAAAUCCUUUUAUUUGUACUAUAAAGAAAAUGUAAUUUUGCUGUUAACUCUGUACUUUUUUAUUGAAACUGUUUUAUAACUUUGCUUUUAAAAUUUCUUAUGAAACCAUUUGCAAAUUACAUACUUAAUUUAAUAAAAUACAUUAACCACUGCUC
rnacentral:lncRNA from 1 species